GAAUUCGCCCUUAGAGUUUGUUCCUGACUCAGGACGAACGCUGGCGGCGUGCUUAACACAUGCAAGUCGAACGGAGCACCCCUGAAGGAGUUUUCGGACAACGGAUGGGAAUGCUUAGUGGCGGACUGGUGAGUAACGCGUGAGGAACCUGCCUUCCAGAGGGGGACAACAGUUGGAAACGACUGCUAAUACCGCAUGAUGCGUUGGAGCCGCAUGACUCCGACGUCAAAGAUUUAUCGCUAGAAGAUGGCCUCGCGUCUGAUUAGCUAGUUGGUGAGGUAACGGCCCACCAAGGCGACGAUCAGUAGCCGGACUGAGAGGUUGGCCGGCCACAUUGGGACUGAGAUACGGCCCAGACUCCUACGGGAGGCAGCAGUGGGGAAUAUUGGGCAAUGGACGCAAGUCUGACCCAGCAACGCCGCGUGAAGGAAGAAGGCUUUCGGGUUGUAAACUUCUUUUAAGGGGGAAGAGCAGAAGACGGUACCCGUUGAAUAAGCCCCGGCUAACUACGUGCCAGCAGCCGCGGUAAUACGUAGGGGGCAAGCGUUAUCCGGAUUUACUGGGUGUAAAGGGCGUGCAGCCGGCCCGUCAAGUCAGAUGUGAAAUCCCCGGGCUCAACCCGUGAACUGCAUUUGAAACUGUUUCCCUUGAGUGUCGGAGAGGUAAUCGGAAUUCCUUGUGUAGCGGUGAAAUGCGUAGAUAUAAGGAAGAACACCAGUGGCGAAGGCGGCUUACUGGACGAUAACUGACGGUGAGGCGCGAAAGCGUGGGGAGCAAACAAGAUUAGAUACCCUGGUAGUCCACGCUGUAAACG
rnacentral:rRNA from 1 species